GUAAGGACACUCGCAUGCAUAAGUCUGUGCCUUCAGAUUUUUCUACUCUGUUAUCCUGUUUGCGCCAGAGGGAAAGAGGUCCUCUCUCCUCUGAUAAUAUGGUGUUCUGUAAGCUAAAUGAGCAAUAGAGACUGAGUUACUGGUAGAGACCAGCUAUAUUUAAUCACAGAUUAGACCCUAGCGGUUUACCUAAACCUCAGAAGGGGACUUUGACGUGGUGUGCUGGGAAGGAAGGCCCAAUCUGUCCCCAAGAAAACAUACAGCUUUGAACUGGAUGAGAAAGUGCUCAGCUCUUGGUGACCAUGGUGACAGUUGCCAUUUCUUGAAUCUGUUGCAGGAUUUCCAUUUAAACACGUCUAAGAGCUUCAGGACCAUACAAACGCUUCACACCGCGUGGCCGCUGCC